rnacentral:rRNA from 1 species
AUUGAACGCUGGCGGCAGGCCUAACACAUGCAAGUCGAACGGUAACAGGAAGAAGCUUGCUUCUUUGCUGACGAGUGGCGGACGGGUGAGUAAUGUCUGGGAAACUGCCUGAUGGAGGGGGAUAACUACUGGAAACGGUAGCUAAUACCGCAUAACGUCGCAAGACCAAAGAGGGGGACCUUCGGGCCUCUUGCCAUCGGAUGUGCCCAGAUGGGAUUAGCUAGUAGGUGGGGUAACGGCUCACCUAGGCGACGAUCCCUAGCUGGUCUGAGAGGAUGACCAGCCACACUGGAACUGAGACACGGUCCAGACUCCUACGGGAGGCAGCAGUGGGGAAUAUUGCACAAUGGGCGCAAGCCUGAUGCAGCCAUGCCGCAUGUAUGAAGAAGGCCUUCGGGUUGUAAAGUACUUUCAGCGGGGAGGAAGGGAGUAAAGUUAAUACCUUUGCUCAUUGACGUUACCCGCAGAAGAAGCACCGGCUAACUCCGUG